CUUUAUGGCAGCUGUGCGCGGGGCAUCUUCGGAUGCGCCGGGAUCCUGGUGCCCCGGUUGACCAACCCUCGCAUAGCUGCCACCUCU
rnacentral:antisense_RNA from 1 species